rnacentral:rRNA from 1 species
CCUACGGGAGGCAGCAGUGAGGAAUAUUGGUCAAUGGCCGCAGGGCUGAACCAGCCAAGUCGCGUGAGGGAUGACGGUCCUAUGGAUUGUAAACCUCUUUUGUCAGGGAGCAAAGGGCGCCACGUGUGGCGUUUUGCGAGUACCGGAAGAAAAAGCAUAGGCUAUAGCCGUGCCAGAAACCGCGGUAAUAAGGGGGAUGCGGGCGUUAUCCGGUUUUAUUGGGUUUAAAGGGUGGGUAGGCGGAGUUUUAAGUGAGCGGUAAAAUGUCCGGGUUAAAACCGGAGCGGCCGGUGAAACUGGGGAUCAUGAGUGGGCGAGAAGUAGGCGGAAUGCGAGGUGUAGCGGUGGAAUGCGUAGAUAUCACGCAGAACUCCGAUUGCGAAGGCAGCAUACCGGCGCCCGACUGACGCUGAGGCACGAAAGCGUGGGGAUCGAACAGGAUUAGAUACCCUUGUAGUC